CUUGACACAAGCCAGAGUCAUCAGAGAGGAAGGAGCUUCAGUUGAGGAAAUGUCCCCAUGAAAUCCAGCAAUCUGAAGAAACACUUCGGAUGCAGAAUACUCAACCUGAGCAUCCCACUGGAAAACCCUCAGCAACUGUAGCUCACGAUGUCCAUGAAGACCUGAUGACUGGGACAACCAUGAAGUAAGAAGCAAGGUUCAGCUGAGAUGAAGAAAGAACAAACUACUCCAUGCUUCCUAUCAAAUGUUGCUGAUGAAAGCCGGGAGAAUGACAGAGCAGACCUGCAGAUGCUUGGAGAGCCUACUUCUUUGGUAUUCCAUUAUUUACUGAAGACCAACAUCCAGCCUUGGGAACUGAGCAACUACAGGAUUCUUGGGCUUUCUGUUUGCAGCCAGCCAUUGUUGGAUUAGCUGGACCA